rnacentral:rRNA from 1 species
GAUGAACGCUGGCGGCGUGCCUAAUACAUGCAAGUCGAGCGAACGGACGAGAAGCUUGCUUCUCUGAUGUUAGCGGCGGACGGGUGAGUAACACGUGGAUAACCUACCUAUAAGACUGGGAUAACUUCGGGAAACCGGAGCUAAUACCGGAUAAUAUUUUGAACCGCAUGGUUCAAAAGUGAAAGACGGUCUUGCUGUCACUUAUAGAUGGAUCCGCGCUGCAUUAGCUAGUUGGUAAGGUAACGGCUUACCAAGGCAACGAUGCAUAGCCGACCUGAGAGGGUGAGCGGCCACACUGGAACUGAGCCACGGUCCAGACUCCUACGGGAGGCAGCAGUAGGGAAUCUUCCGCAAUGGGCGAAAGCCUGACGGAGCAACGCCGCGUGAGUGAUGAAGGUCUUCGGAUCGUAAAACUCUGUUAUUAGGGAAGAACAUAUGUGUAAGUAACUGUGCACAUCUUGACGGUACCUAAUCAGAAAGCCACGGCUAACUACGUG